rnacentral:rRNA from 1 species
CCUACGGGUGGCAGCAGUGAGGAAUAUUGGUCAAUGGGCGGGAGCCUGAACCAGCCAAGUCGCGUGAGGGAAGACGGUCCUAUGGAUUGUAAACCUCUUUAGGCGGGGAGCAAUGCCGGGCACGCGUGUCCGGAGGGAGAGUACCCGCAGAAUAAGCAUCGGCUAACUCCGUGCCAGCAGCCGCGGUAAUACGGAGGAUGCGAGCGUUAUCCGGAUUUAUUGGGUUUAAAGGGUGCGUAGGCGGAUUUUUAAGUCAGCGGUAAAAUGUCCGGGCUCAACCCGGGCCGGCCGUUGAAACUGGGGAGCUUGAGUAGGCGAGAAGUAUGCGGAAUGCGUGGUGUAGCGGUGAAAUGCAUAGAUAUCACGCAGAACUCCGGUUGCGAAGGCAGCAUGCCGGCGCCCGACUGACGCUGAGGCACGAAAGCGUGGGGAUCGAACAGGAUUAGAUACCCGUGUAGUC